GGGCGUGUUUCUGUGGACUUGAGAAAGCGAAAUCCUGCUGAUUUUGCCUUGUGGAAGGCAGCGAAGCCCCUUGAGAUAAGCUGGCCAAGUGAAUGGGGCCCUGGGAGGCCAGGCUGGCACAUCGAAUGCAGUGCCAUGAGCUCCCAGUAUCUUGGGCAUUGCUUCGAUAUACAUGGCGGAGGGAAGGAUCUGAUAUUUCCCCAUCAUGAGAAUGAGCUGGCUCAAAGCUGUGCUGCUUGCCCAGAGAGCAAUAUAAACUACUGGAUGCACAAUGGUUUUGUUAACAGGGACAAUAUCAAAAUGUCCAAGUCCGAAAGUAACUUCUUCACUAUUCGCGAUAUCAUUAGAAUGUACCAUCCAUUAGCUCUACG
rnacentral:misc_RNA from 1 species